rnacentral:sRNA from 1 species
UGCACUGGCUACCAGGCCAUGGGCCAGAAUCAAAUCCGGCGUGAUGUUGGAACCCGAUAUUAACCCGCGACUAGGCAUUGUCCGACCGGCUGCCUUAGUUAGCCUCCAGGAGGCAGCGUCCAGCCUUACGCCCAAGAUGCGAAAAAUUCGAGACAGAGGCAACGGACAUCCGUUGCUUUGUGUGUUUACUCUCUCACAUACAGGAUAACCCUUCCAGCAAUUCAUCCAGUGUGAUAAGAUAGGGUCUGUCUGCAAUUGAGAUAUGUCAGCUUUGUCUUAAGUCGUUACAGCACAACAUAUAACCCGAAAUUCGAGAUUCGCACUUUUCCUCUACCUUUUUUUUCUAUGAAUGCCUGUACGCGCUUCUGCCAUGGUGUGUGAAGUGCACUGUUUCAUGCAACGUUGGUCGGAAUCUCAGUCAUUGCAAGACCUGAGUUUGAAGGGCCCUGGGAUUCCGCAAACUGCCGCCGGACUGCAUAAAUUGAGCAGAUAGAACCUAGACCGCACAGGGCCAUUUAUCCAUUUUUGACAUCCUACAUAGGGUAGGCAUAUUCC